GUACGAUUCACAAUACAUGAUACUGCAUUUGUUAAGUAAAGAUGCUACUUUUCUUUCUACUUAAAUAUUUUUCUUUUACCAGCAAGCGUACAUUGCACUUCUUAAUUUUUGUAUGGAGAUAUUAGCUCAAAAUGGCAGCAAGUUAUAAUCUUUGUAAGCAUGUGAUGUGUGGAUUUGGAGCAUAAGUACUAUCUUAGCCUAUGUGUAGUUCAAGUUCAAUCAUUUACUUUGUCCACAAAAGAAAGUUCUAUCAUUUGGUUAUUCUUGAAAUGCAGGUUUCUGUAUCGAAAAGAAUCAGAAAAUGAAGUAAUGUUUUAAGUAGACAUCAGGUAAAGAAUGAACUCAAUUUAUUGAAUUUUACUCUUUUUAGAUUGCUGGUUAUGAAAGCUGAGGAUUUCAAGGAUAUUUUCCAUUUUUACUCUCCCAUCUAAUAAUCUAUUUUUGUUCAUGUAAUCUCUAUCUCUCCCUCUGCAGGUCGUUGUUGAUGCAUUUAGUAGAAAUUUGGCCAAAAUUUGACCAAGCAAUGGGGCAUGAAAAGUUAUAUAAGGUCAAUGCUAUUAUAUCAUGCCUUUUUUAUGAGAUACUGCUGGUUUGCUUAACCAUAGACUCGAAAACAUGAACAAUAAUACCAAAGACUACAUUCCUGAGUACAAGGUUGGGGAGAAUAUGACAUUGCCAUGGCUGCUCUGUGCCUCCAUGAGAUGCUGGUUGGCAUCAAUAUGCUCUCUAUAUAUGUAAUAAAGUUGUGGACAUGGUGUUUGGUUUCACUCCAUGUAGUUGAUGUUGUUCUGGGGGUUAAGUGAUAAAUGAAUGAGUAAAGUUUCUUUGACAUAUCGACUUUCAUGUAAUGAGUUACACGUUCUAGCUACUGAAAAUGCAUUUUCAUAGCCUUGCAUCCUUGGAUAUGUUUUCUUAUAUAAGUGAACUGGUGUUGUUGAAUUAUUUUUACCUUGAGAAAAUGCAAAAUUUGGUUCACAAAUUCUUGUAAGCUAAUUGACUGGGUUAUUUAGUGGAUAUACUAAAACUUCUGAUCUAUAUAGUUUUACCAUCAAGUUAGAAAACGUUUAGAACAGGUGCGUAAAUAAUCUGUUCUGUUGUGACUUUUUCCAGGGGACUUCAUACAGGCCAUCUAAACUGCCACCAAGCCACUUCAGCUAUAAGCAUACAGAAUUUUUAUAUUCUCGACUUUUGAAUAAUUAGAAGGAACUGCAAGUUAUUAAUCUUCUGUUAUAGAGGAAAUUGUGGCACAAACAAGUUAAAGUGAUUUGGUUAAUAGUGGAUGUGGAGAAACAUGGAAAAAGAAGGAUGAUGAUAAAGAGAUCAUUAAGCUACACUUAAGAGGACGGAGUUUCCAGAGAGCAUUGGUAACAUAUAAAGGAAGUGCUCAUAUAUUUUGCUGAUACUGAAAUGAAGCAGCCAAUUUACCGGAUUGAUACCAAGAUCGACACUUCAUUUAGAAGUUGAAGGCUCAUGUCGUAGUUCAAGAUGAGGACAUGCCCUCAUGCGUCGAAGGAUUUGAAGACUCUUAGCAGUUGAUGCAGACUGAUAACCGAGAUUUAAAAGCUUCAAGGCUCCAUGUGGUAGUUCAAGAUGAGGACAUAUCCUCAUACAUUAAAGAAUUUGAAGAAUUCUGAUUUGUUAAUUCUUUAGUUUUGUUAUGUUUCGCAGUAGAGUAGAAAAAAAUGAGUCUGUCAGAUAUUGAGCACAGGCACGCUCUAUCAGUGUUCUUGUCAAACUUUAGUUUAACUUUUGAGCUUUCCGUCCGUGCUUCUUCUAAUAUGCUUAGUUGCAUCCUUCUGUGAAUUUCUUCCUUUACAAAAAUCAUAAGCUAUAUUAUAUCGAGAGACACGGUGGUUCACAUGGACAAAAAACUAUAUGUAUUAAUUUACUGGUGCUUCAA